GCUGGCUNCCUCUUUUUUGGGGGGGAGUAAUGUGCACUCUUUGAAUGUUCACAAACCUCUCCAACACAUUCCCUGUGCACUUCUUGUAGGGCCCUCUUCUCCUCGGAGAUGAUGUCCUAUGUAUAUGUUUACUAUAACACAUGCUUAGAAUGGUGGUCUAGAAUGUAUUGUCAUUGAUUAAUAAACACAACUUUCAACAAUGGAUCUCUUGGCUCUCGCAUCGAUGAAGAACGCAGCGAAAUGCGAUACGUAAUGUGAAUUGCAGAAUUCCGUGAAUCAUUGAAUCUUUGAACGCACCUUGCGCCUCUUGGUAUUCCGAGGGGCAUGCCUGUUUGAGUGUCAUUGAAACAUCAAAAUGAAUGCCUUUGCUUGUUAGUGAAGGCUGUUCAUCUUGGACUUUGGAGUGUGCUGGCCUGUUUGAAGGGUCAGCUCCUCUGAAAUGGAUUAGCAGNGUGACUUGGAACACAAACAACGCUUGCCUGGCAUUGAUAAGUCUUUCAUGCUUGUGCUUGCCGAGUGUGAGAAGGUCCAUUGCUUACAAAUGAAGGGGUUGCCUUGUCCUCCUUGUGAGGAACCUUAACCUCUUUUUCUUGACAACUUACCCUCAAAUCAGGUAGGACUACCCGCUGAACUUAAGCAUAUCA
rnacentral:rRNA from 1 species